AAUAGCCUCUUAAUUGGAGGCCAGUGAAUGGCAAGACUAGGGACACCUGUACCCUGUAUAGAAAAACAACUUUUCAUUUGGGUGAAAAGACCCAAAUAAUAAAGGAAGACGAAAAGACCCCGCGGAACUUUACCUUUUCUAGUCUCCACAUGCUCAUAAACAUCAAAAACAAAAGGUUUGAUUGGGGCAAUCUCGGAACCACCCAAACUUCCGACUUACAACACAAAAACAUAUAAAACUUAAUAAGGACCAAAAAGAAGUUACCCCGGGGAUAACAGCGUAAUCCAACUUGAGAGUACACAUCGAAAGUUGGGUUUGCGACC
rnacentral:rRNA from 1 species